rnacentral:rRNA from 1 species
UACAGAGGGUGCAAGCGUUGUUCGGAAUUACUGGGCGUAAAGCGAGUGUAGGCGGCUUAUUAAGUCAGAUGUGAAAUCCCUUGGCUCAACUGAGGAACUGCAUCUGAUACUGGUAAGCUUGAGUGUCGGAGGGGAUGGUAGAAUUCCUGGUGUAGAGGUGAAAUUCGUAGAUAUCAGGAGGAAUACCUGUGGCGAAGGCGACCAUCUGGAAGACAACUGACGCUGAGACUCGAAAGCGUGGGUAGCAAACAGG